rnacentral:rRNA from 1 species
CCCUUAGAUGUUCUGGGCUGCACCCGUGCUACACUGGCAGGUUCAGCGAGCUUCAUGUCCUGAUCUGAAAGGAAUGGGAAAUCUUUUCAAAACCUGCCGUGCUUGGGAUAGAUGUUUGCAAUUAUUCAUCUUCAACGAGGAUUGCCUUGUAAGCGCACGUCACCAGCGUGCAUUGAAUACGACCCUGUAUUCUGUACACACCGCCCGUCGCUCCUACCGAUUGAAGUUUUCGGUGAGUUGACAGGAGGAUUUUUUUGAAACUGGUUCGCCAGUGGAUUUUAGAUCCAAAUGCCAACGAAUCGAUGGCUUUAGAGGAAGGAGAAGUCGUAACA